rnacentral:rRNA from 1 species
GACGAACGCUGGCGGCGUGCUUAACACAUGCAAGUCGAACGGAAAGGCCCUGCUUUUGUGGGGUGCUCGAGUGGCGAACGGGUGAGUAACACGUGAGUAACCUGCCCUUGACUUUGGGAUAACUUCAGGAAACUGGGGCUAAUAACGGAUAGGAGCUCCUGCUGCAUGGUGGGGGUUGGAAAGUUUCGGCGGUUGGGGAUGGACUCGCGGCUUAUCGGCUUGUUGGUGGGGUAGUGGCUUACCAAGGCUUUGACGGGUAGCCGGCCUGAGAGGGUGACCGGCCACAUGGGGACUGAGAUACGGCCCAGACUCUUACGGGAGGCAGCAGUGGGGAAUAUUGCACAACGGGCGGAAGCCUGAUACGGCAACGCCGCGUGCGGGAUGACGGGCUUCGGGUUGUAAACCGCUUUCGCCUGUGACGAAGCGUGAGUGACGGUAAUUGGUAAAGAAGCACCGGCUAACUACGUG